GGGCCUGUAGCUCAGUCGGUUAGAGCAGAGGACUCAUAAUCCUUUGGUCCAGGGUUCGAGUCCCUGCGGGCCCA
rfam:Pseudomonadales bacterium CV58 contig_151, whole genome shotgun sequence.